rnacentral:rRNA from 1 species
GACGAACGCUGGCGGCGUGCUUAACACAUGCAAGUCGAGCGGUAAGGCCCUUUCGGGGGUACACGAGCGGCGAACGGGUGAGUAACACGUGGGUGACCUGCCCUCAGCUCGUGGGAUAAGCCUGGGAAACCCGGGUCUAAUACCGGAUAUGACUCCAUGACGCAUGUUGUGGGGUGGAAAGCCUUGUGCGGCUGAGGAUGGGCCCGCGGCCUAUCAGCUUGUUGGUGGGGNGAGUGGCCUACCAAGGCGACGACGGGUAGCCGGCCUGAGAGGGCGACCGGCCACACUGGGACUGAGACACGGCCCAGGACUCCUACGGGAGGCAGCAGUGGGGAAUCUUGCGCAAUGGGCGAAAGCCUGACGCAGCGACGCCGCGUGAGGGAUGACGGCCUGGUGU